rnacentral:lncRNA from 1 species
UUUUUGUUAAUCGCUCUUCUUAACGCGAGGUUGCACGUUGACCCUUCAACGGUGUAUGUAACAUCUGCCUUAUCGUGAUAUGAUCCAUCAUUUCUCUUGUAAACCACAGAUGUGGUCAAGUUGAUUGAAGCAUAUGUUCCCAGUUGAAGAUGGCAUGGAAAAGGAAGACUCCCACUAUGACGGUAACAAACAACGUUGUUGUUUCCCAUGUUGUAGUGUGUAGAAUAGAUGCAGCAGAACACAAAAUAUUGGAAUGGAUGAGUUGAAGAAGGUGUGGAGUUAUUCAAAACUAGUUCUUGUCUUCUCUCAUGUUCACAUGCCAAAACUAUAAAUACACUCAUUUUGGAAUCAUCUUUUCACUCUCACUGUAUUGGAAGCGUUGUUCUUCAGCUUAAUUAUUGAUUCCCUAGCCACUUUUCUCUUUCUGGUGUUUAUGCUUUUUCUUUUAUUCUUCCACUUCCAUCAUUCUUGAUUCGUCUACUUUCGAUUCUAUUGUGCAGUGUUGAGUUAGUCUUAGUAGAAUUUACACGAGAGUUAACCCAAGUUGAAAAGAGACCCAAUCACAUUUUUAUCAUACUUUGUAUAUAUUAAUGACUAAAUAAUGUUUUAAAAUCUCAUCAUUUGAGUUUAAGUAUGCCAAAAGCUGUCGACCAUUCAACCAUGUGAGCAACUAGUUGUACAAGAAUAUAUCGUUAUGUAUUAAUAAUAGUAAGAUUAUUCUUCUAUAAUUAAAAAUUAAAUUUAUAAUAUUUUUUAAAGAAUAAAAUAUGUUCUGUAACCAAAAUAUAUUCUUAUUUGAAAGUUACAUUUUAUACUUCAAUGCUUUGGUUUAGUGCAGAACAUAAAAUAUGUAAAAACAAACAUUCACUCCUUCAUAUCCUUGACCAAAAGCAUAUCUGCAGCAUCCGACAGAUCAAUAAUUUUGCACCAGAAUAGCACAUUGAGGAUUUUAAUCUGCAUCACAACAAAAGAACCUGCCAGCAGCACCUAAAAGCAUAUACCAUAACGCAAAUAAAACCAGAAUUAACAGCAUCAUGGCACACCCUUGAGAGGAACAUGAGCCCUGUUCAUCCAACUGAAACCAUUCUCACAAUGAACCUGCCCUUUCCAACUACCUGCAGCUUUUAAUGCAGAUAACAAGAUUCAAAUCUCAAUCCGAAAACGAAAAAUUAAAGGCAUUAUUGACCUGUGUUUCAACCAUAGCAAGUGUGAAUGAACUCGUUAAUAAAAGUUUUUGUUUGGAAUUUAUCUAGUAAAAAUUGAGUUUACACUAUAAAAAAAUAUUAAAUAAAAACCAAUUUUAAAAAGAAAAAAUAAUUAGUUAUUAUAUUAAUUAAAUUAGAUACAAGAUUAAAAUAAUUAUUGAUAUCUACACUAGAUUCUAUUAUUAAUAAAAUUUAUAAAAUAAUUUUUUUACAUAUAUAUAAUUAACUACUAAUUAAUUUAAAUUAUAAUGUGUAACUAAAACAUUAAUAUAAACUUUUAGAAAUUUUAUUAAUAAUAUAAAUUAAUUUACAUACCACUAAAUUUUUUACUACAUAGAGUAUUAUAUAAUUUAUUUAAUAUGAUAAUUAAUUAUUUUUUUCUUCUAAAAUUUAUGUUUAUUUAAUAAUUUUAUUUUCUAAUGUUAGUUAUUAGUCUCAAUUUUGAGGUCGAUUUGAUAUUAAUAUUGUUACUUCUUAAUUAGUUUUUAAAAUUAAAAUUACUUAAAUUUUAAAUAUAUCAAAUAAUAGAAAUAUUAAUAUGUUCCUUUAUAUAUAUUGAUUUUUUUUUUAUCAUCAAGAAUCAAUAAAUAAAUAUGGAUCACUUAAAGAAUGAUUAACCUUUAUACAAAAGAAAAAAAAAAAACCUUACAUCCUAACCUAAACCAAGCCCUCAAGAGAAGCUACCAACUAACCCUUAUCCCAAUCAAAACACAACCAUAUGAAUUCACCCAUGGCAACAACCAAAGUGUACCAACACCAUAAACACCUAGAAUCGAAAUCAUAAAUAAACCAUCAAACAUAAAUUACUAGCAAAUAUAGGAACUUAUAAAACUUUUUACAAAGAUCAUACCAGUUGUACAACCCACUAACUCAACAAAAAAGAACAAAAGGUAACAUUUUUCACUUCCCUUAUACUUUUCCUUUGGAUCUCUUUAUCCUAAAUUAAGAUAUAAAAGCUCCUGAAGGAAACCAACCCCUUACUCCACAUAGGAGGAUAUACUCUUAAAGACCCUUGUGCAAAACACAUAAUUUUUUCCUUCUUAAAAAAGGAGUUAGAGAUAUAAACCAAGAUAAGGGAGACUAGAUUAUUUCACAAUUUGGAGCCAUAGGAAUAAGAUUAUUUUCAAAGGUGGAGUUUUUUUUUAUUAUUAUGAUCUUUUCUUUGAUUCAAGUGAAGGUUUGGUCUUGGAUCACUCAUAAAUUUCCCUUUGCUUGUUUUUCUUUUUCCGAUCGGUGUUUUGAUCCUUUGAUCUGGCUUCCUUCACUAUAGCUCGUUGUUGAUAGUUGUCUUAGGCAAGGUUCGUUUAUUGAGUAGUUGUCUGAAAGUUGUUGGGUUGUUAGAGUAUCAUUGUUUCUUUGUAUAUGGGUUGGAUCACCCAUAAAGUGGUUCAUAUGUAUAUAUUAUUUAUAGUUGAUAAAAAAACAAUUUUUAUAUAUACCAAAGGUUUCAACACAUUCUAAAUUUUUUUUUUUAAUGGUAAUCCAAUUCCAAGAUUGAGAAUGCAACCUCAAAUAGCUCAUGAUUGCAUUUGGAGAAAGGAGAGAUUAUUUGGUGGCUCCAAGAACCCCACACGGUUUCUGCAAAGUCAGCAUGCCCAUUCUCAUCAUCAUCAACUUUAAAAGAAGGAUUAUGAAACUCACUCAGCUCCACAUUGAAGAAAAAGAAACCUUAUUUUGACAUGGAUCACUAUAGUCUGUGUCAAAUUUAUUUUAUUUUUUUCUUAUUUUCUUCUGUUACAAUCGCAAUUUCUUAUAUAAUAUAUAUGUGUAAAGUAGGCAACACAUUAAUAUCAUAGAAAUAGGCUAUAUAUAUAUAUAUAUAUAUACACACACACACACACGCACAGGGUCUUCCUUCAAUUAAAACCAUAGAAAUAUUUGCAUCUGAUGGAGCUACAAUUGGCAUGCCCUUUGAACCUUCCAUCAUUGGCAAUGCUUGCUUUAUUUUUCUGGCUGCCAUGAUGUGGUGGUAGGGGAACACCAUCACUGUCUUCACUAUCAGAGAGCCAAGACAUGUUCCUUCGAAUGUUACUACAAUGAGGGCACAUGCUUGGCUUCCAAAUCCCACUUCUGUUCACUUCAUCAAACAUGUAUAAUAAUGCAGAAACAGGGUGUCGUUCAGGACCCUCUGCUCUUAUAUCAAAUUUUCCAUCAGAUAAACCAACCUUCACCACAACAGAAAACCCAACAUCUGUUGUUUCACUUGAUCUGUUAACACCUCCUGUUCCUUUACUGUUAACAAAAUAGUGUGCCAUAGUCACGGCCUUAGCCUGUUGAUGAGAAUCAUUUUUGUUGCACUCCCAAACAAGAAGACCGCACCUGUUUGCAGUGCCAUACAAGUAAAUUUUGGUGUCCGUAACACCACCCCAUGCAUCAACCUUCUUCUUCGUCUUCGUCCACGGGAUGGAAUUGUGAUUCUUAAAGUCGACCGUACCAAGAAAACCGGUUCCGGUUUUGUUUAUCUGCAUGCAUAGGUUGUCUCCGUCUAAACAUACUACGGUGUCAUGGAGAAUGAAGGUUAAUAAGUUGACACCGCUGCUGUAAACAGAUUUUGUUAACAUAAGGUUGCACGUUGACCCUUCAACGGUGUAUGAAACUUCUGCCUUGUCGGAAUAUGAUCCAUCAUCCCACUUGUGAACACAGAUGUGGUCAAGUUGAUGGAAGCGUCUCUUCCCAGUUGAAGAUGGCAUGGAAAAGGAAGACUCCCACUAUGACGGAAAAAAACAACGUUGUUGUUUCCCAUGUUUUUACUGUGUAGAAUAGAUGCAGCACACCACAAAAUAUUGGAAUGGAUGAGUUGAAGAAGGUGUGGAGUUAUUCAAAACUGUUCUUGUCUUCUCUCAUGUUCACAUGCCAAAACUAUAAAUACACUCAUUUUAGAAUAUUUUUUCACUCUCACUGUAUUGGAAGCGUUGUUCUUCAGCUUAAUUAUUGAUUCCCUAGCCACUUUUCUCUUUCUGGUGUUUAUGCUUUUUCUUUUAUUCUUCCACUUCCAUCAUUCUUG